rnacentral:tRNA from 1 species
CAGGUUAAGCUUAAUUAGUUAAGAAUUUCAUUUACAUUGGAAUGUUGGUUGUGCAAUUCAACAUAAUCUGA